rnacentral:rRNA from 1 species
UACGUAGGUGACAAGCGUUAUCCGGAAUUAUUGGGCGUAAAGGGUGCGCAGGCGGUCAGAUAAGUCUAAGGUAAAAUUGUUGAGCUCAACUCAAUCAUGCCUUGGAAACUGUCAGACUAGAGUGCAGGAGAGGGUAGUGGAAUUCCAUGUGUAGCGGUAAAAUGCGUAGAUAUAUGGAGGAACACCAGUGGCGAAGGCGGCUACCUGGCCUGUAACUGACGCUUAGGCACGAAAGCGUGGGGAGCAGAUA